rnacentral:rRNA from 1 species
UACGUAGGGUGCAGGCGUUAAUCGGAAUUACUGGGCGUAAAGCGUGCGCAGGCGGUUUGCUAAGAGAGAUGUGAAAUCCCCGGGCUUAACCUGGGAACUGCGUUUCUAACUGGCAGGCUUGAGUGUGGCAGAGGGGGGUGGAAUUCCGAGUGUAGAGGUGAAAUUCGUAGAUAUUCGGAAGAACACCAGUGGCGAAGGCGACUUACUGGACACAUAUUGACGCUGAGGUGCGAAAGCGUGGGGAGCAAACGGG